rnacentral:rRNA from 1 species
AUUGAACGCUGGCGGCAGGCUUAACACAUGCAAGUCGAGCGGAGAUGAGGUGCUUGCACCUUAUCUUAGCGGCGGACGGGUGAGUAAUGCUUAGGAAUCUGCCUAUUAGUGGGGGACAACAUUCCGAAAGGAAUGCUAAUACCGCAUACGUCCUACGGGAGAAAGCAGGGGAUCUUCGGACCUUGCGCUAAUAGAUGAGCCUAAGUCGGAUUAGCUAGUUGGUGGGGUAAAGGCCUACCAAGGCGACGAUCUGUAGCGGGUCUGAGAGGAUGAUCCGCCACACUGGGACUGGGACACGGCCCAGACCCCUACGGGAGGCAGCAGUGGGGAAUAUUGGACAAUGGGGGAAACCCUGAUCCAGCCAUGCCGCGUGUGUGAAGAAGGCCUUAUGGUUGUAAAGCACUUUAAGCGAGGAGGAGGCUGCUGAGACUAAUACUCUUGGAUAGUGGACGUUACUCGCAGAAUAAGCACCGGCUAACUCUGUGCCAGCCGCCGCCGUAA